rnacentral:lncRNA from 1 species
CUCGUCUACACCCGGGGGCGCCCUGUGCGAACCCCCCACCCCUCGUCUACACCCGGGGGCGCCCUGUGCGAACCCCCCACCCCUCGUCUACACCAGGGGGCGCCCUGUGCGAACCCCCCACUCGUCUACACCCGGGGGCGCCCUGUGCGAAUCCCCCCCUCGUCUACACCCGGGGGCGCCCUGUGCCGCCCCGGCAAGUUGCCGCCAGCGGCGGCUGCCCAUGUCGCCCGUACCUAAAUCCACAAAAUAAAUCUCUUUUCCAAAAUUCGUCAUCUCUCUCAUGUCUUAUUCGACUAGUAUUUUUGAAAGUGUAAGGAUAAUAAUUCAUAGUUGUUCUGAAAUGUUUAUUGCUUGCCAACAUUUUACUCCCUCCUCUGUUUAAUAUAACACACAUACAUUUAAUUAUUAAUUUCGGUUACCUAUCCUGACAUGAAGUUUGUUCUAUAGAAUGUAUUUGACUGUGUGCCACAGAAGGUAUUUGACUCUAGCCACAAAACUAUGGAAAUUAGAAGGGGGGGAGGGAGAAUUCAGUCAGGGGGGAGAUCUUCGGCACAACACCGGCCCCGGAAGAGGACCGCUUCUGGGCCGAUUCCUCAUUGGUGGCUGGGAUACCUCAUCGUUGAGAUAGUUCAACUGCUACGUAGAUACAUGGAUAGCAUGAGAAAAAACAACCACCUUUAUAAUACAUCCCAUUCGCGUUGUGAACGGUCAUCCAACACGGAAUUCCAACAGGGGAAAUCUGGCCUCUUUCUGGAGCGCCGACUUCCUGACACUGAAGGUCACUGACCUCAUGAUUCGACCUCGUUUUUCUCGAGUUCCCAGUUGUCUUGAAAGCGCCAUAAUGCUGCACAAAUGAUGGACAUGACAGGCCACUUUGACACUGACAACCUGAGAUGAAGGAAAACGACCGUGUCUGGAAUCAGUAAAUAUCCCAGGACAAUGACCCAAAACACACCUCCAGGAUGUGUAAGGGCUAUUUGACCAAGAAUGAGAGUGAUGGAGUGCUGCAUCAGAUGACCUGGCCUCCACAAUCACCCUUACCUCAACCCAAUUGAGAUGAGUUGGACCGCAGAGUGAAGGAAAAGCAGCCAACAAGUGCUCAGCAUAUGUGGGAACUCCUUCAAGAAUGUUGGAAAAGCAUUCCAGGUGGCUACCUCAUGAACAUUGCUGAGAGAAUGCCAAGAGUCUGCAAAGCUGUCAUCAAGGCAAAGGGCGGCUACUUUGUAGAAUCUCAAAUAUACAACACUUUUUGGGUUACUACAUGAUUCCAUGUGUUAUUUCAUAGUUUUGCUGUCUUCACUAUUGUUAUACAAUGUAUAAAAUAGUAAAAAUAAAGGGGAAACCCUUGAUUGAGUAGGUUUGUCCAAACUUUUGACCUUUAUUGUAUAUACAGUUGAAGUCAGAAGUUUAC